rnacentral:rRNA from 1 species
CGGGUGCACUGAUCCAGCCGGGCCUUUCCCUCUGUGGAACCCCAUGGCCUUCACUGGCUGUGGUGGGGAAACAGGACUUUUACUUUGGAAAAAUUAGAGUGCUCCAGGCAGGCCUAUGCUCGAAUACAUUAGCAUGGAAUAAUAGAAUAGGACGUGUGGUUCUAUUUUGUUGGUUUCUAGGACCGCCGUAAUGAUUAAUAGGGACAGUCGGGGGCAUCAGUAUUCAAUUGUCAGAGGUGAAAUUCUUGGAUCUAUUGAAGACUAACUACUGCGAAAGCAUUUGCCAAGGAUGUUUUCAUUGAUAAGGAACGAAAGUUAGGGGAUCGAAGACGAUCAGAUACCGUCGUAGUCUUAACUAUAAACUAUGCCGACUAGGGAUCGGACGAUGUUAUUCUUUGACGCGUUCGGCACCUUUCGAGAAAUCAAAGUGCUUGGGCUCCAGGGGGAGUAUGGUCGCAAGGCUGAAACUUAAAGAAAUUGACGGAAGGGCACCACCAGGGGUGGAACCUGCGGCUUAAUUUGACUCAACACGGGGAAACUCACCAGGUCCAGACACAGUGAGGAUUGACAGAUUGAGAGCUCUUUCUUGAUUCUGUGGGUGGUGGUGCAUGGCCGUUCUUAGUUGGUGGAGUGAUUUGUCUGCUUAAUUGCGAUAACGAACGAGACCUUAACCUGCUAAAUAGCCCGUACUGCUUUGGCAGUUCGCCGGCUUCUUAGAGGGACUAUCGG